rnacentral:rRNA from 1 species
ACGGAAGGCAGCAGUGGGGGAUAUUGCACAAUGGGGGAAACCCUGAUGCAGCGACGCCGCGUGAGUGAAGAAGUAUUUCGGUAUGUAAAGCUCUAUCAGCAGGAAAGAUAAUGACGGUACCUGACUAAGAAGCACCGGCUAAAUACGUGCCAGCAGCCGCGGUAAUACGUAUGGUGCAAGCGUUAUCCGGAUUUACUGGGUGUAAAGGGUGCGCAGACGGCAUGGCAAGCCAGAUGUGAAAGGCAGGGGCUCAACUCCUGGACUGCAUUUGGAACUGUCAAGCUAGAGUAUCGGAGAGGUAAGUGGAAUUCCUAGUGUAGCGGUGAAAUGCGUAGAUAUUAGGAGGAACACCAGUGGCGAAGGCGGCUUACUGGACGAUAACUGACGUUGAGGCUCGAAAGCGUGGGGAGCAAACAGGAUUAGAUACCCUGGUA